rnacentral:rRNA from 1 species
CCUACGGGAGGCAGCAGUGGGGAAUAUUGCACAAUGGGGGAAACCCUGAUGCAGCGACGCCGCGUGAGUGAGGAAGUAUUUCGGUAUGUAAAGCUCUAUCAGCAGGGAAGAAAAUGACUGUGCCUGACUAAGAAACACCGGCUAACUACGUGCCAGCAGCCGCGGUACUAAGUAGGGGGCAAGCGUUAUCAGGAUUUACUGGGGGUAAAGGGAGCGUAGACGGCUAAUCAAGUCAGAAGAGAAAACCGAGGGCUCAACUUUAGGACUGCUUUUGAAACUGAGUAGAUAGAGUGCAGGAGAGGUAAGCGGAAUUCCUAGUGUAGCGGUGAAAUGCGUAGAUAUUAGGAGGAACACCAGUGGCGAAGGCGGCUUACUGGACUGUAACUGACGUUGAGGCUCGAAAGCGUGGGGAGCAAACAGGAUUAGAUACCCCGGGUAGUC